rnacentral:rRNA from 1 species
GAUGAACGCUAGCGAUAGGCCUAACACAUGCAAGUCGAGGGGCAUCACAUGAGGCAGCAAUGCCGAUGGUGGCGACCGGCGCACGGGUGAGUAACACGUAUGCAACCUGCCUUCAACAAGGGGAUAACCCGUUGAAAAACGGACUAAUACCCUAUAAUACAGGGGUCCCGCAUGGGGAUAUUUGUUAAAGAUUGAUCGGUUGAAGAUGGGCAUGCGUUCCAUUAGCUGGUUGGUGAGGUAACGGCUCACCAAGGCAACGAUGGAUAGGGGAACUGAGAGGUUUAUCCCCCACACUGGUACUGAGACACGGACCAGACUCCUACGGGAGGCAGCAGUGAGGAAUAUUGGUCAAUGGACGCAAGUCUGAACCAGCCACGUCGCGUGAAGGAAGACGGCCCUACGGGUUGUAAACUUCUUUUAUACGGGAAUAAAGUGCCCCACGCGUGGGGUUUUGCAUGUACCGUAUGAAUAAGGAUCGGCUAACUCCGUGCCAGCAGCCGCGGUAAAU